GUCUGCCAAAGCACCUGAGCUCCACCCACAGAACUGACACCUGAAUCCUGUUAUUCCCCACAAACACACAGCUUUGGAGAAAGCUUCCAAGAAACAGCUGACCACAAGGAUGAAACUCGUGUGGGAGGAAGAGGGAGCAUGCUUGGCAGCUGGCCUCCAACGCAGGAAUCGCUGCCACAGGAGGACAGAGAAUAUUUUGUGGCAGCUCAGCUUAUCAUGCAUUUUUGUGCAGACCCUUCCAGUUUCUCAGUGAUGUUCUGUCUGCUUGAAUGGCUGUCCAUGUGUGCUUGGUCCAUGUCUGAGAUAAGGACUGCACCCAGCUUGCACCUGCUUUCUGGUGCUGCCUCUUGGGCUUCCCUGCUUGCAGGGAGCAAAGAUGCAGUGAGUCUGAGCACAGAGAACAAGAUGACUUCUCCAGCAGGAACCACAGACCCGAUCAUCUUCUUUCACUGCACACCCAUUGCUGUCAUAAUUUCCCCUACUGCAAAUAAGAGAGCUGUCUGGUCUCACGUGUUCAUGUAG
rnacentral:lncRNA from 1 species